rnacentral:rRNA from 1 species
AGUACGUGAAACCGCCCAGAGGUAAACGGGUGGAUCCGCAAAGUCGGCCCGUGGAAUUCAGCUCGGCGCGCGGCCUGGGACAGCUGCGGUUCGGGAUCCCUGGGACCCGUCCGCGGCGUCGUGCCGGGCUCCGCCGAGUGCACUUUCCGCGGGCAGAGCGCCACAACCGGUUUCGCGGGCGGCGAUAAGCCGGGCGGGAAGGUAGGUCUGGGCGGCAACGCUCAGACUGUUACAGCCCGUCCUGGCGCGCCGCUCCGGGAUCGAGGGACUACCGCUCGCUUCGAGGCUACCCG